rfam:Sus scrofa chromosome 6.
AUCGCUUCUCGGCCUUUUGGCUAAGAUCAAGUGUAGUAACAUUUAAGGUAAUUUACUGAUAUGUAUGUUCUUAUUGCCAUUUUAU